rnacentral:rRNA from 2 species
GUGUGCCUAAUACAUGCAAGUCGAGCGCACUGGCCCAACUGAUAUGACGUGCUUGCACUGAUUUGACGAUGGAUCACCAGUGAGCGGCGGACGGGUGAGUAACACGUGGGCAACCUGCCCUGGAGCGGGGGAUAACAUUUGGAAACAGAUGCUAAUACCGCAUAACAAUCAAAACCACAUGGUUUUGAUUUCAAAGAUGGUUUCGGCUAUCACUCCAGGAUGGGCCCGCGGUGCAUUAGCUAGUUGGUAAGGUAACGGCUUACCAAGGCGAUGAUGCAUAGCCGAGUUGAGAGACUGAUCGGCCACAAUGGAACUGAGACACGGUCCAUACUCCUACGGGAGGCAGCAGUAGGGAAUCUUCCACAAUGGGCGCAAGCCUGAUGGAGCAACACCGCGUGAGUGAAGAAGGGUUUCGGCUCGUAAAACUCUGUUGUUGAAGAAGAACGUGCGUGAGAGUAACUGUUCACGCAGUGACGGUAUUCAACCAGAAAGUCACGGCUAACUACGUGCCAGCAGCCGCGGUAAUACGU